GACGAACGCUGGCGGCGUGCCUAAUACAUGCAAGUCGAGCGAAGUUUUUCUGGUGCUUGCCCUAGAAAAACUUAGCGGCGAACGGGUGAGUAACACGUAAAGAACCUGCCUCAUAGACUGGGACAACUAUUGGAAACGAUAGCUAAUACCGGAUAACAGUAUUUCUCGCAUGAGAGAUAUUUAAAAGUUGGUUAUGCUAACACUAUGAGAUGGCUUUGCGGUGCAUUAGCUAGUUGGUGGGGUAAAGGCCCACCAAGGCGACGAUGCAUAGCCGACCUGAGAGGGUGAUCGGCCACACUGGGACUGAGACACGGCCCAGACUCCUACGGGAGGCAGCAGUAGGGAAUCUUCCGCAAAGGGCGAAAGCCUGACGGAGCAACGCCGCGUGAGUGAAGAAGGAUUUCGGUUCGUAAAGCUCUGUUGUUAGGGAAGAAUGGAUAUGUAGUAACUAUACAUGUAAGAGACGGUACCUAACCAGAAAGCCACGGCUAACUACGUG
rnacentral:rRNA from 1 species